GGACCGCUGGUGCAACGGUAGCGCGUUCGACUCCAGAUCGAAAGGUUAUCCGUUCAAAUUGGGUGUGUUUCA